CACUCUGGUGGCCUAGUGGUUAGAGCUUCCGCCUCGGAUUCGGGAGGUCAUGGGUUUGAUCCCCAGUUGAGUCA